rnacentral:lncRNA from 1 species
UUCAACUGAAGUCACACUUAAUAUUUCUCAGGUAGCUUCCGCAUGGCGAACGUUUUUAGUCAGAACCACAUUGGACAUGCUUAUCUGAUGCGGGCUACAAGAAUUAAUAAAAUUAAUAGAGGGUCUACAUUGGCCCAUAGACUAUUGAGCUAUCAUCUUCCAUUAAAUAUUGUAUGCAACGAGAGAGAGAGAGAGAGAGAGAGAGAGAGGGGGCGGGGGUCCCCAAUACCUGGGUCGAAGAGUCUUUGGACCGUUCUUAAAAAUAAUUUCAAAUUUGAUGUUAAGUAGGUGUUAAGUAGGUGCAUUACACAUUAACUUCUUUAAUUUCAGGAUACGUGUUCCUUGGGAAACUGCAACUCUGCCACAGAGAUAUUAUGCCUCUACUGCUCAUUCAGCCUAAACCCAAAGCUUUGCGACAUUUGUUUACAAAAUCUGCACAAGAAAUUGGUCCAAAUUAAUUCCAUACCUUUAGAGGCAUUCUAUGACAUCGCUCCGACAACAUCGAUCAACUUGGAAUUGGUAAAUGCAAAAUUCCAGUGCCGGUGUGUUGUGCCCUCCUGUUAAAGAUUUGCUUGAAUAAUGUGCACUGAAUGCGUAACACGUUGCAUUCUACUGCUGUGCAACACAUGUAACAAGCAAGUGCACAUAGGUGACAGGGCUGGUCACCACAGGGUUGACCUCUCUCACCUGAUGGGCAAUCAGACAGCAGUGUCAGACGAGCUGCAUCAAGAAAAAGACAAAAAUAUAAAAGAUUAUUGUGGAAUAUGCUAUUCCAAAGCAGUUAACUUAUGUUUGGAUUGUGAGCAUAAACUGUGCUCAAAAUUUUGUGUAGAACACUAUACAAAAACACAUUCACAAUCAACAUGCCACCAGAAGGUAAACAUUUCAGAAGGAACAAUAGAACCCAAAAAAUACACCUGCCAGUGUAGGUUAAUUGACUAUUGUAAAGCCAAUGCAGCUGCCGUUUGCCAGGAUUGUUAUCCUUCAUUUGCUUUGCUGUAUUGUGAAACGUGUGAUGAUUUAAUACACAGCUUGGUUAAAUCAUCUACACACAGAACCAUCCCACUGCAACAAGGGACAUUUGACUCUGACCAAGGUGACGAUGAUAUUAUACUUCCUAUUGACGAAGACGACCACGAUGCAUCAAGCAGCGAGGAAGCGCAAUUAACGAAGCACGCUGUUGACGACACGGACAGAGAAACAGAAGAAGAAGAGGGGGAGCUACGUGGUCACGUGGUCCGAUGACGACAAUCGUGCAACCGGCGGAGCUGUCAAACUCAGCUGCAAUUUCUACCUCUUGUGCCGUACAGGGGACUUUCCUAGUUCGGCGUGUGACUGCAUAGAUAUAACCAGGACUGGAGGGAAAUGAAAUGAGAACACCAACCAGAUGGGUCAGACUGACCACCAAGAGACCACCACCAGACGGUCAGGAAUCAUCGCAUACAGAGAUGUGGGCACGGAUAUGACCAGGACUGGAGGUCCCACAAGACUGAGAAGACUGAUAGCUACCAUGGCUGUCGACACGCAGACAGAUGACUUUUCAGAGAAUUCUGGACAGAGGGGUCAGGUUGACCAACCAAUCCACGCAAGACGUUGUAACAGAGGCGGGACGCCCUGUGGUGACCCUGGUCCCAUGUGACCCCACUGACCAGUGUGACCCUAGACUGGACACGGGUGACAAUACCAGAAAGAUAAAUACAGCACCUGCUGUCUGUAAAUUGCCAUAGCGAACAACACGAUUAUAUAGAAACAGCUUCUAAACAGUGCUUCAAAUUAUGACACAAAGUUGAUGUUAUACAUUUUUUCUUAAACAUUCUGUACUGUCUAAGGUAUUCUGGUUUAUAGCUGUUAUUGUAAAGUGAUUCAUGAAUCAUUGUGUCUCACGUACACCGAACCAGCAAUAAAUUGGCGGUUAUACUGCGGACCUCUGCUGCUUGAUGUUUUGACAGUGCGUGAUUCUUUCGUCAAAUUUCUCUAGGAAAAUUUGCUAAGGCUGCGCAUUUAGAUAAAUAGUAUUUCAAAGGGACG